rnacentral:rRNA from 1 species
ACAGAUCGUUCAGUAGUUUGAUCCGUGGCUCGAGGACGAACGCUGGCGGCGUGCUUAACACAUGCAAGUCGAACGGGGUUAAGAAGCUUGCUUCUUAACUUAGUGGCGAACGGGUGAGUAACGCGUGAGGAACCUGCCUUUCAGUGGGGGACAACAGUUGGAAACGACUGCUAAUACCGCAUGAUACUAAUUAACGGCAUCGUUGAUUAGUCAAAGAUUUAUUGCUGAAAGAUGGCCUCGCGUCUGAUUAGCUAGUUGGUGGGGUAACGGCCCACCAAGGCGACGAUCAGUAGCCGGACUGAGAGGUUGACCGGCCACAUUGGGACUGAGAUACGGCCCAG